GCUCAGAUGGCGGAACGGCAGACGCAGUAGACUCAAAAUCUACCGCUAGCAAUAGCUUGAGGGUUCAAGUCCCUCUCUGAGCACCA
rnacentral:tRNA from 2 species